rnacentral:snRNA from 12 species
AUCGCUUCUCGGCCUUUUGGCUAAGAUCAUGUGUAGUAUCUGUUCUUUUCAGAAUAAUAUCUGAAAUGCUGCUCAUCGAGCAGCAAGUAUAUUAAUCUGAUUUUUGGAUGAUCGGCCAUGGAAUAGGGGCUUGCCGUCCUGGCCACGGGUUGGCCCGGUUUGCACUACUGCCGGGAUCGGCCACACUCCC